CCUACGGGGGGCAGCAGUGGGGGAUAUUGCACAAUGGGGGAAACCCUGAUGCAGCGACGCCGCGUGGGUGAAGAAGCGCCUCGGCGCGUAAAGCCCUGUCAGCAGGGAAGAAAAUGACGGUACCUGAAGAAGAAGCCCCGGCUAACUACGUGCCAGCAGCCGCGGUAAUACGUAGGGGGCAAGCGCUAUCCGGAUUUACUGGGUGUAAAGGGGGCGCAGACGGCGAUGCAAGCCAGGAGUGAAAGCCCGGGGCCCAACCCCGGGCCUGCUCUUGGAACUGCGUGGCUAGAGUGCAGGAGGGGCAG
rnacentral:rRNA from 1 species